rnacentral:rRNA from 1 species
GAUGAACGCUGGCGGCGUGCCUAACACAUGCAAGUCGAGCGAGAAACUUACUAUUGAAGCUUCGGUAGAUUUAGUAAGCGGAAAGCGGCGGACGGGUGAGUAACGCGUAGGCAACCUGCCCUUUACAGGAGGAUAGCCUCGGGAAACCGGGAUUAAAACUCCAUAAUGCCAAAGUAUUACAUGAUACAUUGGUCAAAGAUUUAUCGGUAAAGGAUGGGCCUGCGUCUGAUUAGUUAGUUGGUAAGGUAACGGCUUACCAAGGCAUCGAUCAGUAACCGACCUGAGAGGGUAAUCGGUCACAUUGGAACUGAGACACGGUCCAGACUCCUACGGGAGGCAGCAGUGGGGAAUAUUGCACAAUGGGCGCAAGCCUGAUGCAGCAACGCCGCGUGAAUGAUGAAGGUUUUAUGAAUCGUAAAAUUCUGUUCUGAGGGAAGAAACAAAUGACGGUACCUCAGGAGCAAGCCCCGGCUAACUACGUGCCAGCAGCCGCGGUAAAAC